rnacentral:rRNA from 1 species
CAGUCGCCGCGGGAAUACGUAGGGUGCGAGCGUUAAUCGGAAUUACUGGGCGUAAAGCGUGCGCAGGCGGUUCGUUAAGACAGAUGUGAAAUCCCCGGGCUUAACCUGGGAACUGCAUUUGUGACUGACGGGCUAGAGUAUGGCAGAGGGGGGUAGAAUUCCACGUGUAGCAGUGAAAUGCGUAGAGAUGUGGAGGAAUACCGAUGGCGAAGGCAGCCACCUGGGCCAAUACUGACGCUCAUGCACGAAAGCGUGGGGAGCAAACAGGAUUAGAUACCCCCGUAGUCCCUGUCUCUUAUAA